CAUGGCGUUGAAAUCUAACCGAAUAUCAAUUUAAAUGAAUUUCAGUUCGUGGCACUAGUAAGAUUACGAUUGGAUUCUCAUUCGGGUGCCGGAAAUGAACAUUGAUCGAAAAGGGUGAAAAAUUGAUACAGUGUAGGGAGUUUUUUUCUGUUUUUUUUGGGGAGUGAUUGGUUUAAAUGCCUUCUAGUAGAACUUUUUUGUUGAAAUCAGGGCAAUUUAGGUCAGUCAAACACAAAGCCCUAGAGUGGAUUUGAUCAUGACCAAAGUAGGGUUUAGUACAAUGUCCUGAACACUAUGUGUAUGUAGACUUAGGGUUUUAUUGUAUGAUGACCAGUUAUUGCACAUUGUCCUAGUUGUCUGUUACUAUUACUAAGGUUUUAUUAUGUGGUGACCUGUCAUCGUGCAUUGUCCUAGUUGCCUGUUACUAAUACUGAUGACAAAUACUCCUAACAAACUUUUUGAUUAUCUUCCCAAGUCUCUUAUCAGUUUGUGGUGACCAGUCAUCAUGCGUAAUGCUAGUUUUCUGUUACUAUUACUAAUGACAAGUACGAAGUCACUUAGUAAACAUGAAAGUUAGGAAUCUUGAUCAAUUUAGUUAGUUUGAACUUCUAUUUUCUACGAGUGAAACCCAUGACGGUUUUUUAAUUUGUACAUGAAAGGAAAUACAGAAAACAAACAGUGAUCAAAGCAAACACCAACCAUAUAAUAAAACUUCCUCCAUCUUCGAAGCACCAACUUAAUCACUUUGAUCCGUAGUUAAAAUAACUAUUUUCCUUACAACAACCUGAAGACAAAAUAAAAUUUCAAUUGACUGAAAUCAAAGAUUAAUUAAAAAGGCGCAAAGCUACAUGAAAGAGCAGCAAGUGAUCAACUAACUUCUUCUCUUUUUUCUUCUUUUUUUAUAUGCAACUAACUUAUAAAUAAAUCCCAGAGAAGCAUUGCGAAAAUGGAUGGCAACUACUGCCUUAUCCUGUGCAUAACGUUUCGAAUUCUUAUGAACAGAAAGCCUAAAGUAGGUAGAUUUCAUAAACGAUUUAUCCUUUUCAGUUUUGGACCCUUUACUGUAAAGUUUUGUUACUUUCCUGAUCUUACAUAUGAGGGAUUCUUGAAGUCUUGGAUUCAUUUUAACUCUUUUCAAUUACAUCGAGACGCAGGAAAAUAUUCGUAUUCCUUGUUUGUUUUAUCUAUUUCUUAGGGAUCGUGUUUAAGUGGUGUAACAUACGUAUAAUAUGGGAUCUGUACCCAAAGUUUUACGACAAACUUGAAUUACGAAUGUGGUUAUGCCAAGUGAAUGUUUGAACUAAACAUGUACUAUAACAUAACAUUCAUAACUUACCUAUGAGUUGUGUACAUUGAAAAGUAUCCAUGUCAGUGAAACACAAACUCCUUCCGACUUGGGACUAAUAAAACUUGCCUUAAAGAGUUUUUUUUUUGCCCACAUCCCAAAGAGAGACGGGGCUCCGUUCCGAUUUCUUUUUAAACAUUCUUUUCAAAAAGAAAGUAAUUUCAAACUCAAAUAUAAUGAAAAUGAAAAAUAAUUUUUUAAUUUUUUUUGCACCGUUUAAAAUCAAACAAGAUCCAUAUUAGUAGGAAAAUUAUUUGCGUAAAUACAUGAUUUUUGAGCUUGAAAUUACCUUCUUUUUCUAAAAGUUCCUUUUUGGAGAAACCUAGACGGCAAUAAUUGAUCAGUUCAUCAUGCUUAACAUUUCUCUUUUUGCGUUUAAUUAAAUUCUUUUCGCCAAUGGUGGAAACCGCACUGCGCGUUUAUUAUAAUAAUUUGAACCUUUAUUUAAGGCCUGCAAAAUACUACAUGCACAAAAAAAAAAAAAACUUAAUUGAA